rnacentral:rRNA from 1 species
CGGAGGAAAAGAAACCAACAGGGAUUGCCCUAGUAACGGCGAGUGAAGCGGCAACAGCUCAAAUUUGAAAUCUGGCCCUCGGGUCCGAGUUGUAAUUUGUAGAGGAUGCUUUUGGUGCGGUGCCUUCCGAGUUCCCUGGAACGGGACGCCAUAGAGGGUGAGAGCCCCGUCUGGUUGGACACCAAUCCUCUGUAAAGCUCCUUCGACGAGUCGAGUAGUUUGGGAAUGCUGCUCUAAAUGGGAGGUAUAUGUCUUCUAAAGCUAAAUACCGGCCAGAGACCGAUAGCGCACAAGUAGAGUGAUCGAAAGAUGAAAAGCACUUUGAAAAGAGAGUUAAAAAGUACGUGAAAUUGUUGAAAGGGAAGCGCUUAUGACCAGACUUGGGCUUGGUAGAUCAACCUGGGUUCUCCCUGGUGCACUCUUCCUCGUCCAGGCCAGCAUCAGUUCGCUGCGGGGGAUAAAGGUUUCGGGAAUGUGGCUCCCUCGGGAGUGUUAUAGCCCGUUGCGUAAUACCCUGCGGUGGACUGAGGUUCGCGUUCUGCAAGGAUGCUGGCGUAAUGGUCAUCAGCGACCCGUCUUGAAACACGGACCAAGGAGUCGUCUUCGUAUGCGAGUGUUCGGGUGUUAAACCCCUACGCGUAAUGAAAGUGAACGCAGGUGAGAGCUUCGGCGCAUCAUCGACCGAUCCUGAUGUUCUCGGAUGGAUUUGAGUAAGAGCAUACGGGGCCGGACCCGAAAGAAGGUGAACUAUGCCUGUAUAGGGUGAAGCCAGAGGAAACUCUGGUGGAGGCUCGCAGCGGUUCUGACGUGCAAAUCGAUCGUCAAAUAUGGGCAUGGGGGCGAAAGACUAAUCGAACCUUCUAGU